AACGAACGCUGGCGGCAUGCCUAACACAUGCAAGUCGAACGGGAUCCGGCUCUUCGGGGCUGGUGAGGGUGGCAGACGGGUGAGUAACGCGUGGGAACGUGCCCUUCAGUUCGGGAUAACCCAGGGAAACUUGGGCUAAUACCGGAUACGUGCGAGAGCAGAAAGAUUUAUCGCUGAAGGAUCGGCCCGCGUCUGAUUAGCUAGUUGGUGAGGUAAUGGCUCACCAAGGCGACGAUCAGUAGCUGGUCUGAGAGGAUGAUCAGCCACAUUGGGACUGAGACACGGCCCAAACUCCUACGGGAGGCAGCAGUGGGGAAUAUUGGACAAUGGGCGCAAGCCUGAUCCAGCCAUGCCGCGUGAGUGAUGAAGGCCUUAGGGUUGUAAAGCUCUUUCGUCCGGGACGAUAAUGACGGUACCGGAAGAAGAAGCCCCGGCUAACUUCGUGCCAGCCGCCGCCGUAAUAC
rnacentral:rRNA from 1 species